GAGGCCAGCAACAGAAUGUCACUCACAAUUCCGAUGUCUCCAACCUCAUUUAAAGGCUCACCUGAUUAAGUCAGGCCUGCCCAGGAUAAUUUCCUGCUUGAUUAACUCAAUAUCAAGUAAUUAGAGACUUUAAUCUGUAAAACCCCUUCUGCCAUAUAAAGUAACUUAAUCAUGGGGGAACUAUCCCAUCAUAUUCAGGUACAGGAAGUGGUGGCUGGCCUCUCUGAUUUUCCUGGGAGUGUUGCCUUGGCUACGAGAAGCUGAGAGCUCAAGGUGAGCCUGGAUCUGCACCUGCAGCAGCAAUAUUUCCAGCAUAUGCUUCAGCAUCAACCUUUACUGUGGAGUGCUGGGGCCAAGAGAGGCAGAAGUCCGGUGGAGAUUUGGAUCUGGGUCCCCAAACUACCAUUUUAUUCCCAAUAGUCAAAGAUCUAAGAGUGUUUUCAAUAGGCUAUUGUGAUUAACAUCAAUUAAAAGAAAAAGAAACUA
rnacentral:lncRNA from 1 species